GACAGAGGGGGCAAGCGUUGCUCGGAAUUACUGGGCGUAAAGGGCGCGUAGGCGGGAUGGCAAGUCGGUCGUGAAAUCCCUCGGCUCAACCGAGGAACGUCGAUCGAUACUGCUGUUCUUGAGGAUUGCAGAGGAGACUGGAAUUCCCGGUGUAGCGGUGAAAUGCGCAGAUAUCGGGAGGAACACCGGUGGCGAAGGCGGUUCUC
rnacentral:rRNA from 1 species